rnacentral:rRNA from 1 species
GACAGAGGUGGCAAGCGUUGUUCGGAAUUACUGGGCUUAAAGGGCGCGUAGGUGUCCCGACAAGUCAGAUGUGGAAGCUUUUCGCUUAACGAAAAAACAGCAUCUGAAACUGUCGGGAUUGAGUCAGCGAUGGGAUGGCGGAAUUCCAGGUGUAGCGGUGAAAUGCGUAGAUAUCUGGAGGAAGGCCGGUGGCGAAGGCGGCCAUCUGGCGCUGAACUGACACUGAGGCGCGAAAGCGUGGGAAGCAAAC